GUGACCGCCAGUGCAGCACAUACAAUAAAAACAGAACUGUUCAGAGAUGAUUAGCACGGCCCCCGUUGAAGAAUGGCAUGCAAAUUCAGGACGCGGUCCUUAGUUUU